GACGUAGGGGACGAGCGUUGUCCGGAUUCAUUGGGCGUAAAGCGCGCGUAGGCGGCUUUGUAAGUUAGAGGUGAAAGCCCAGGGCUCAACCCUGGAAUUGCCUUUAAGACUGCAUCGCUUGAAUCAUGGAGAGGUGAGUGGAAUUCCGAGUGUAGAGGUGAAAUUCGUAGAUAUUCGGAAGAACACCAGUGGCGAAGGCGACUCACUGGACAUGUAUUGACGCUGAGGUGCGAAAGCGUGGGGAGCAAACAGG
rnacentral:rRNA from 1 species